rnacentral:rRNA from 1 species
GUGAGGAAUUUUCCGCAAUGGGCGAAAGCCUGACGGAGCAAUGCCGCGUGAAGGAUGAAGGCCUAUGGGUUGUAAACUUCUUUUCUCAGAAAAGAAUUAUGACGGUAUCUGAGGAAUAAGCAUCGGCUAACUCUGUGCCAGCAGCCGCGGUAAGACAGAGGAUGCAAGCGUUAUCAGGAAUGAUUUGGCGUAAAGCGUCUGUAGGUUGUUUAAAAAGUAUUCUGUCAAAGAUUAGGGCUUAACCUUAGAUAGGCAGAAUAAACUUUUAAGCUAGAGUUUGGUAGAGGCAGAGGGAGUUCCCGGUGGAGCGGUGAGAUGCGUAGAUAUCGGGAGGAACACCAAAGGCGAAGGCACUCUGCUGGGCCAAUACUAACACAGAGAGACGAAAGCGAGGGGAGCAAAUGGGAUUAGAUACCCCGGUAGUCC